rnacentral:pre_miRNA from 1 species
AAAGUACUCCCUCCGUCCCAAAAUUCUUGUCUUAGAUUUGUCUAGAUAUGCAUGUAUCAAGUCACUUUUUAGUAUUAGAUACAUCUGUAUCUAGACAAAUCAAAGACAAGAAAUUUGGGACAGAGGGAGUAGUUG